CCUGCACCCAGCCCAAGAACUACUGCUGUCUGUAGCAGCAGUUUAAACAGUGGUGCAUACAGCAAAGGGGCUUCGUCGCCUUUGGGGGGCUGUGUGGUGCCCCCCAGAGUGAAUCAGGAGGCUCCACAAUC